rnacentral:lncRNA from 1 species
AGGCUAAUUAUUGAAUCUAGGAUUUGAGAGAAUUCAAGAUUUUAAUAAAUCCAAGAUAAUUUGAGAUUUGAAUAAAUCGUAGAAAGAUUAUUUACAAGUUUUAAGGUUUUUUAAAGAAAUUUUAAAGUUUCUGAAAAAAACUUUAAAAUUUUAUAUAUUCUUUAAAUAAUUUUUUUUUAUAUUUCUAUAAUUUGAUAUGAAAUAUAUAAAAGAAUUUAAAAAUCAAAUUUUUAAAUUCAUUUCAAAUAGUUUGAUUUUCUUCAUAAAAAUGUGAAGUCAGUUUUUUUUGUUUUUUUUUUAAGUUUCAAAUACUAUCAUAAGAGAUGGUAUUUUGAUUCAUUGUUUUUCCACUAUAAAAUAUCAUCCAUACCCCCACCAUAUCUCAUUUGGUAGAUUUUAUUGACAUAAUCCAUAUUUUCCAGUAAACUGGAAGUUGAGAGAACUUAUACAAAUGACUAAUCCAAUAAGGAUUGAUU